rnacentral:rRNA from 1 species
UACGUCCCUGCUCCUUGCACACACCGCCCGUCAAACCACCCGAGUAGGGUCUGAAUGAGAGCGCUUCCUAAGGAGGCGUUCGAAUUUGGGCUUUGCAAGGGGGGUU